UACGUAGGGUGCAAGCGUUAAUCGGAAUUACUGGGCGUAAAGCGUGCGCAGGCGGCGAUGUAAGACAGAUGUGAAAUCCCCGGGCUCAACCUGGGACCUGCAUUUGUGACUGCAUCGCUAGAGUACGGUAGAGGGGGAUGGAAUUCCGCGUGUAGCAGUGAAAUGCGUAGAUAUGCGGAGGAACACCGAUGGCGAAGGCAAUCCCCUGGACCUGUACUGACGCUCAUGCACGAAAGCGUGGGGAGCAAACAGG
rnacentral:rRNA from 1 species